CUCUGCUUGCCUUCCAUUUGUGCACCAUCAGCCGGUCAAUGUUGCUCUCCCUCCUUCGUUCCCUCCUUGCAGGAAAAGCUAUGAGUCCUUGUGUAACAUGUGUGAAAAGAUCCAGCCGCUGCUUGAGGCUGAGCAUCGGGGUUUCAUGGAGGUCCAAAAUCUCAUCAUUUCCAGUCUUCAUGGUUUAAACUCCAAACUUGUCAAUGAAUUGACAUAUGCAGAUGAGCGCUUUCAGAUUCUCUGCUUUAUCCAGAAGAGACGUUUGAAACCUGGAGGCAGCGAGGCUCAUCGGAAGACCUGCCCCGGCUGACAGCCUGCCUGUUUCCAGGCGCAGUUCAAAGAAAAUGAUCAGAAAUUAUACAGCUCUGUUCGUGUUGGGAUCAGAUCAUCUGAUAGGCUACAACACCCCUUGUGAGCCCGCGUGGCCCUUGAGACCUUUAGGGGAUACCCUCCUUUCAGUCCUGCCGGAAGCAUGGCAAGCAUGAACCAAAUCAAGAGUUUUCCAUGCAUUCAGUGGAAGGAGCUUUGGAAUUGAUGCAAGAGUAAUGUGAAUACCUUUAUUGAACC
rnacentral:lncRNA from 1 species